GGGCCCGCACAAGCGGUGGAGCAUGUGGUUUAAUUCGAUGAUACGCGAGGAACCUUACCAGGGCUUAAAUGUAGUGGGACAGGUCUAGAGAUAGACCCUUCUUCGGACUCAUUACAAGGUGCUGCAUGGUUGUCGUCAGCUCGUGCCGUGAGGUGUCAGGUUAAGUCCUAUAACGAGCGCAACCCCUAUUCGUUUAGUUGCCAGCGAGUAAUGUCGGGAACUCUAACGAAACUGCCAGUGCAAACUGUGAGGAAGGUGGGGAUGACGUCAAAUCAUCACGGCCCUUCACGUCCUGGCUACACACGUGCUACAAUGGCCGGUACAGAGAGCAGCUACCAUAGUGAUAGGAUGCA
rnacentral:rRNA from 1 species